rnacentral:tRNA from 1 species
UGCGGGGUAGAGCAGCGGUAGCUCGUUGGGCUCAUAACCCAAAGGUCACAGGUUCGAGUCCUGUCCCCGCUACCA